CAUUGAGUGUUGUGCGCGGCGCUUCAGCACGCGGCCCUCCGAGCUGAGGUGGUCCGCGCAGCCUUUCGCGCUAAGAAAUCUGGUCUGAAGGGCUGGGGGCAAGACCUCUGCACACAGCACCCUGUGAGCAACUGAAACUAGAGGAUGCACAAAGGCAAAGGAAAAAAAGUGCCAAGAUUCAAGAUAAUUCAUUUAUCUUGGAAAUGAGGGAAAUGUCUCCUUUUAGGUGCCUCAACUUGAUGAAGAUGCCCAGAGAUUUGUUUCCAAUUCCUGAUGCCCUAGAGGCUAUGGAAAGGAAAGUUCAGUUUCUCCAGUUCUUCAAAAGUUACCUGUGGUGAUUACUCUCAAGAUUUCUGCCUUCAAGUGGAUUUUGGCUUGAGUAUUUCUUACUUUUCUGGACUCAAAGGUAUACCGAGCUCUGAUAUCAGUGGGGCACAAAGCAGGUACAGAAAGCCCCAUCCUGUAGGUACAGAGUAUUGACGAUAGAGCGCAGUGAGACAGGCAGAUUCCAAGGCCUGGUGUUGUUGUGUUUAAUUGAAUGUUGAGCUUUGUAUGACUGCAAGGAUAUAGUCCCUACCUCUCUCCACUGAGAAACUUCCAAUCAGCAAUCUCCAGUGGUAAUGAGCAUACUUGGCCCUCUGAUCUUGGUUUCUAAAUACAAUUGUCCACUUAAGGGAAGCAGAAUUCCUUGGACAAGUGAUUCUAUCUAUGACUGGGCAGAGAAAUUGCAAGAUGAGCCUGGGAAAUCUUGCUGCAUAAGAAAGAAGGAAAUUAUCAGAAAAUGGAGAAAUAUCAAAAGGACAAAAAAGGUAGCUUCAAAGGGGACCCAAUAAGCAAGUUUGGGACAAUUUUAACAUUACAGUGUCAUGAGAAUAUUGAACCUACUAAAUAAAACAAGAAUCUAUCAAUCCAUACUGGUAUGAAUAGAUGAAUAAAUUGAAAUUUUGUUGAGAAAUGGAAUCUUUACCUAGCCUCAAAGUACCUCCCCCACAAAAUAUGUGUUAACUAUAAAGGAGGGGAAAGUAACUUUAUAUUAAGAAGCCUGGCGGAUGCCACCUAAAUCAAGUAAUCAAAGUUAACAUCACCAGCAAUGGAGCAAAUCAAACCCACGUGUCACCUGACAGGAUGAAAGGAGAAGAAUGCAGGGUCACUUUUGUGAUGUGCCUGCCCAAGUUGCAUAACUGAAUUUAAUCAUGAGGAAACCUGAGACAAACCCACCGGGGGGGGGGCAUUCUACCAAAUAACAAGCCUAUAAUCUUCGAAAAUGUCAUGGUUCCGAAAAUCAAGGAAAGACCAAAGAACUGUUGUAGACUGAAGGAGUUUAAAGAAUCAUGACAACUAAAUAUCAUGCAGGAUUCUGGACUGGAUUCUUUUCUUAGAAAGGACCUCAUUGAGACUACCGGCAAAACUUGAAUGGAAUCUGAGGACUAGAUGGUAAUAAUGUAUCAAUAUCAUUUCCUGGAUGGCUGUAUUACUGUUGUGUAGGAGAAUGUCUGUUCUAUACUAACAUAUUCCAGGGUGAUGGGGCAUUGUGUUGGUCUCUCACUCUCAAAUGGUUCAGGAAAAUGUUACUUGGAUGAUUCCUGCAAUUUUUAUAAGUUUGAGAUUGUU